ensembl:lncRNA
CACAUCCACAGAUCAUCGCCUCUUCAGAGAUCCCUCAUGCGGGUUACAAAACACAGUUUGUUUGGACAUUUGUUCAUACCUUCUGACUGUAACAAUUUUAACAUGCAGCAAAAGCUUCUAGCGGUCAAAUCAAUCCUCCAAACGGCGUAAGUCAUCAAGAAUUUUGAUUUGCUUCGGCUACUUCAGUUCAAAACUUCAAGUCCACAUCAGAAAACGUCGGGCACUCCAGCUCCGCCCACCCUGUCAGUGCACCGGCUCCAGCUUUUACGGGAAUAGCCGAAAUCUGACCAUCUAAAUCCUGCCACCGCUCCGAAAGGCCUCACAUCCAGCCUCAUCUCGUUAUAUCUCAUCCAGCUUCCGGGUGCCAGGUCGGCUGUCUCCGCCCACCAGCGUGACGUCGCAGCCGUGACUCCUGCGUGGCCUUCUCCCUCCAGCUGCAGCCGUUCAGCACCUCUGUAACCACAUACUGGCAGUGCCUGGAAUGAUUAACCAGUGCAAGCAGAGAUGAACCUCUGUUCAACACGGAGUCUGAGAAGGCCCCGUCCAGGCCUUGGCUUGCUCACCUCCACAUCCCACGCCAAUGCCGUGGUCUCUCACCUAAGCUAUACGACAUAUUCC